CAGGACUCGCAAGACUCCUACAACCCUGUGAACUUAACUAUAAGCACGUUGCUUCGGCGGGUGUCUCGGCGAGGGUCCUCCCUCCCCGGGGCGCUAAGCCCGCCGGCAGCCUACUAUACUCUGUCUCUCUGCGUUGGCAUCUCGAGUACAAUCAAACAAGUUA
rnacentral:misc_RNA from 1 species